rnacentral:rRNA from 1 species
UGGUACGGCCAUGCCACUCUGAACGUGCCCAAUCUCAUCUGAUCUCAGAAGCUAAGUAGGGUCUGGCCUGGUUAGUACUUGGAUGGGAAACCACCUAGGAAUAGCAGGUGCUGUAGGCA